rfam:Anopheles culicifacies strain species A-37_1 cont1.9508, whole genome shotgun sequence.
AAAACGGUCCUUUUCAGGACUACAAAAGUUUUGUACCAUAAAGAUGU